UGUUCGUGGCUUAGUGGUCAGUGUUACAGUCUAUAGACCAUGAAGUUGCUGGUUCAAGCCCAGCCAGGAACAA
rnacentral:tRNA from 1 species